UAGGGAAUCUUCGGCAAUGGACGAAAGUCUGACCGAGCAACGCCGCGUGAGUGAAGAAGGUUUUCGGAUCGUAAAACUCUGUUGUUAGAGAAGAACAAGGACGUUAGUAACUGAACGUCCCCUGACGGUAUCUAACCAGAAAGCCACGGCUAACUACGUGCCAGCAGCCGCGGUAAUACGUAGGUGGCAAGCGUUGUCCGGAUUUAUUGGGCGUAAAGCGAGCGCAGGCGGUUUCUUAAGUCUGAUGUGAAAGACCCCGGCUCAACCGGGGAGGGUCAUUGGAAACUGGGAGACUUGAGUGCAGAAGAGGAGAGUGGAAUUCCAUGUGUAGCGGUGAGAUGCGUAGAUAUAUGGAGGAACACGAGUGGCGAAGGCGGCUCUCUGGUCUGUUACUGACGCUGAGGCUCGAAAGCGUGGGGAGCAAACAGG
rnacentral:rRNA from 1 species